rnacentral:lncRNA from 1 species
AAUCAUAUUAAAGAAACCAAAAAAGAUGCUUUAAUCCAGGAGUAUGAAAGUUCCAAGCUAGAAGAAGGUGAAAAGAUCAUUGAUAUGAAAACACGUUUUUCCAGAAUCAUUGAUGAACUGGAACAUCUAGGGAAGGCAUUUACAACUAAUGAGAAAAAUAGAAGAAUUCUCAAAGCCCUUCCAUCCAUUUGAAAAUGAAAGUUAUUGCUAUUAAG